UCCGCCGAUGCCAGUCAUUGCUCCGGCGGGCACGGUGAGUUUCAUUUGAACGGUCAUUAGUUACUAGUCUUCACAUUUGAGUUGCAUCAUGCUAACGAUACAUUGGAAAUAAUCUUUGGUGCAGCGUAACUCCCGACAAGCAUCGACCGAUCCUUCUCCGUCUGCCACUAGCGCGACCGGUCCUACACCUACAUCUACACCUACACCUCCGUGAUGACGGUAAGUGUCCCAAGUGUUUUGCUUAAUAGAGUUUUGUUGUGAUGCCAUGUUGUAUAUAUCUAGACAUAUCGUGCAUAAUGUGUGUAUGUUUUAAAUGCAUUGUAUGUGUGGGAUUCGACACCUAGUCGUGUGCCUUUGGUAGCCUUCCAUAUAGGGAAAUGCCUCCUAGUGCUUCCACUGAGCCAUGGUAGUUCGCUACUGCUCCAGAACACAUGGAUUGACCGGCAUGUGUCAUUCUUUGCUCCUGUGUCUGUCCCUACGGGGAAAUGUCACGCUGUGUAUCACCGAAGUCCUUGUAGCUUGCUACGACUUGGUUGCACUCGCUGAUGACCGACACGUGCAUUGCUGGGUCAUGUAUGCCUGUCCCUGUACGUUUGUGCCACCUUGGUUCUAUGACUAGUCAUGUCGGCCCGGGUUCUCUGCCAUAAGGAUACUAGCGACAUAAUCAUAUACUUAGCAUUUUUUCCUCCAAAAUGACUCAAUAUAUGCUUACCUAGCUCAAAAAUGACUUAAUAUGCUUAGCUAGCAUAAAAGUGACCUAUACUUAGCAUUUUUCCUCCAAAAUGACUUAAUAUGCUUAGCUAGCAUAAAAAUGACCUAUUUAACCUAGGAUAGCUCUAAAAUGACCUAUACUUAGCACCUUUUCCUCAAAAAAGACUUAAUAUGCUUAGCUAGCUCUAAAAUGAUAUAGUAUGCUUAAGAAAUGACAUAUUUUAGGUCCUAAAUGACUUCAUAUGCUUAGCUAGCUCCAAAAUGACAUAAUAACCUUACUUAGCUUCAAAAUGACCUAUUCAACCUAGGCUAGCUCUGAAAUGACCUAUACUUAGCAUUUUUUCCUCCAAAAUGACUUAAUAUGCUUAGCUAGUUCAAAAAUUACAUAAUAAGCUUAAUUAGCUCCAAAAUGACCUAUUUAACCUAGGGUAGCUCUAAAAUGACCUAUACUUAGCAUUGUUUCCUUCAAAAUGACUUAAUAUGCUUAGCUAGCAUAAAAAUGACCUAUUUAACCUAGGAUAGCUCUAAAAUGACCUAUACUUAGCAUCUUUUCCUCAAAAAAGACUUAAUAUGCUUAGCUAGCUCUAAAAUGAUAUAGUAUGCUUAAGAAAUGACAUAUUUUAGGUCCUAAAUGACUUCAUAUGCUUAGCUAGCUCCAAAAUGACAUAAUAACCUUACUUAGCUUCAAAAUGACCUAUUCAACCUAGGCUAGCUCUAAAAUGACCUAUACUUAGCAUUUUUUCCUCCAAAAUGACAUAAUAUGCUUAGCUAGUUCAAAAAUUACAUAAUAAGCUUAAUUAGCUCCAAAAUGACCUAUUUAACCUAGGGUAGCUCUAAAAUGACCUAUACUUAGCAUUGUUUCCUUCAAAAUGACUUAAUAUGCUUAGCUAGCUUAAAAAUGACCUAUUUAACCUAGGAUAGCUCUAAAAUGACCUAUACUUAGCAUCUUUUCCUCCAAAAUGACUUAAUAUGCUUAGCUAACUCUAAAAUGACAUAAUAUGCUUAAGAAACUAGAUAACAACCCCGCGCGUUGCCGCGGGAAAAUUAGCAUACGAAGUUGUAAAAAUUCAUGAGGUGUGAUAAGAAAGAAAUGAAAUUUUCCACUGAAGUGUGAUGCUUCUGAGCGAUAAGAAGGAAAUGAAAUUUACCACUGAAGUGUGAUGCUUCUAAGCAAACGCAAAUCACAUUUCCAAAAUGAUACUCUACAUUUGUAGUAAGUCAUUCAUUCAUCAAAGUCUCUUCAAAAAGUUUCAAGAUGCAUCAUAAUAAUCUUCUUCUUCUAACUUUCUUCUUUCCCAUUUUACAGAUUUGCUUAAGAUCAUGGAAGCUUGGGUUGAUGGAGUGCUUGUAUUUAGUUUUUGUUUUGACCUUGUGAAACUUGCUACCUAUGGAUGAAACUGUGUAAUAUUGAUGAAACUAUGUAUAUGUACGGAUGAAACUUGCUACUAUUGGUAACAUGUGUUGGAUACAUAUGUGUUCAUGACUAUUGGUAAUAUGUGUUGAAUAUGCUAUAUUGGUCAUAUAAAUAUAUUUG
rnacentral:lncRNA from 1 species